UGCUGUGUUGAUCUCGAAGAUUAAUUUCAUAGGGCAACAGUACAGGCUAAGAAGCUUAGAUUAAAGCACAGACAUGGAAUCGCGUGCAUUGGUUGUGAUUGUGUUUUUAGGUGUCGUCUGCGUUGCACAGGCACUGAGGUGUAACUACUGCCAAAAGAUUGACAAAGUGAAUCCCACCUGUGAUACAGUGGAAGAGAAGGAAUGCCCCUCUGGUCUUAAUAACUGCAUUAAGAUCACAAUGUAUCCUCCAGCUUAUGGUGAAGUGCGCAGAUGUGCCACCGAUACGGAGUGUGAUGCUAUAGUGCCUCAACAGGUUGACAAACACUGCUGCAGCACAGACCUCUGCAACUAACCUGCACAACCAGCCAAAUGUUUUUUCAACCAGCCAAAUGUGUUGUGAUUACCUUAAACUUGUACUACUUAAAAAUGCUCAAAACAUGGAGCUAUAGUUAAGAAUGGUCUUUAUUUAAUAUAUACAUGUACAUUUUGGAAGAGAUGUUAUAAAUAAAAUUUGACCAGCAAAAGCAAGCAUCAAUGA